ensembl:lncRNA novel transcript, antisense to ETFA
GGGGCCUUUGCAACCUCCAUACUAGCGUUGGCCCCCUGGUCCCACUUUCUUUCAUCUUUUCUCAUUCCUUUGACUCCGCCGGACUUUGUAGCCCCCAUGGCCUGGUGUUGGGUCUGAUCACCCCAAUAUUCAUGGCACCCAACAUGGGGCGACAAAGACCACAGUGAAGGAACGCUAGAGCAUGUGAAAGCGGAGGAUGCAUCGUCAGAGGACACCCAGGGACGACUGAAAGAAGCUCGGAGUCAACAAUGAGCCCUAUACUUGGAGUAAAACAACCCCUUCCCCAGCAGGAGUCAAGAAUGAGCCUCAGGCCUCUUCAUCUCAAGCUGAAAAGGACAGAGGGAGCCAUAGACAAUACAACUAACAACCUCCAAAAACGCACAGCCUCACCACCACUAUCUUGAGUCAGCCAGGACUAAUCACACCCUGCCCUUCAUUAUGUCUGUCCCCAUAAGCCCCAAACUCAAAGGUUAUCCUUCAUAACCCAUACACUGAUCCCCAUAAUGCUCUGCAUGCUCCCUAACCUGCACCAAUCUCCCAUAUUCCUAACCCUUACACUGUGAUUUCUGGAAUAUGGAGCCCAAUAUCAGCGAAACUUAAGUUAUAUUAAGUUUUAUUAAAAUGUAAGUUUUAGAACUUAAAACUUUAAGUGUAUUAAAACUCAGGUUUUAUUUACCUAAUAAAACUUAACUUUAAA